rnacentral:rRNA from 1 species
UACGAAGGGGGCUAGCGUUGCUCGGAAUCACUGGGCGUAAAGCGCACGUAGGCGGAUUGUUAAGUCAGGGGUGAAAUCCUGGAGCUCAACUCCAGAACUGCCUUUGAUACUGGCGAUCUUGAGUCCGGGAGAGGUGAGUGGAACUGCGAGUGUAGAGGUGAAAUUCGUAGAUAUUGGGAAGAACACCGGUGGCGAAGGCGGCUAUCUGGACUGACAUUGACGCUGAGGCGCGAAAGCGUGGGGAGCAAACAGG